UACGAAGGGGGCUAGCGUUGUUCGGAAUUACUGGGCGUAAAGCGCGCGCAGGCGGUCGUUUAAGUCUGGUGUUUUAAGCCCGGGGGCUCAACCCCCGGUUCGCAUCGGAAACUGGAUGACUUGAGUGUAAGAGAGGAAAGUGGAAUUCCACGUGUAGCGGUGAAAUGCGUAGAGAUGUGGAGGAACACCAGUGGCGAAGGCGACUUUCUGGCUUAUAACUGACGCUGAGGCGCGAAAAGCGUGGGGGAGCAAACAGG
rnacentral:rRNA from 1 species